rnacentral:misc_RNA from 1 species
ACACUAAUGAAAUCCAAAACCUUUUGGAUCAACCCAACCUUAGCGAACCGUUCGUUUUUUCCCUUUGCCAUAUCAUUUUAUCAAACGCAAAAAAUCUGAUGUAAAGUGUCUGAUUCUUAUUCUAGCUGUAAUGGCUGGAAUCAAAAAUCUAACGCAAUA